rnacentral:rRNA from 1 species
AUUGAACGCUGGCGGCAUGCCUUACACAUGCAAGUCGAACGGCAGCACGGGAGCAAUCCUGGUGGCGAGUGGCGAACGGGUGAGUAAAGUAUCGGAACGUGCCCAGUCGUGGGGGAUAACGUAGCGAAAGUUACGCUAAUACCGCAUACGAUCUAUGGAUGAAAGCGGGGGAUCGCAAGACCUCGCGCGAUUGGAGCGGCCGAUAUCAGAUUAGGUAGUUGGUGGGGAAAAGGCUCACCAAGCCGACGAUCUGUAGCUGGUCUGAGAGGACGACCAGCCACACUGGGACUGAGACACGGCCCCGACUCCUACGGGAGGCAGCAGUGGGGAAUUUUGGACAAUGGGCGAAAGCCUGAUCCAGCCAUGCCGCGUGCAGGAUGAAGGCCUUCGGGUUGUAAACUGCUUUUGUACGGAACGAAAAGGUUUGGCCUAAUAAGCUGAGCUCAUGACGGUACCGUAAGGAUAAGCACCGGCUAACUACGUGCCAGCCGCCGCAGUAA